AAUUACAGUUUUUUUGGUUCAGUCGUCGACUCGUCUGCCUGACUUGUUUCUGUCGUUGAUCCUAACUAUUCAUACAGAAACAGAAGCAAGUACGGCCACAACCUCCAAUACUACUACGACUGAUGGCUAUCCUCUACCCGAGGAGAAAAACUGCAUUCAGAGGGUUACGGAAUGGCAAUGGGUGGGUUACCUCCCAGGAGCAGAUGACUGGCAUGGUUAGUGAUCACUAGGCCAUGAAUCUCAUGGAUCGCAUGAUACAGGUAUCUGGUCCAGAUCCGACGGAGACAAGCAAAAUCGUGCCGCUUCUUCUUCUUUUGAUUGAAAAUCCAGGUGAAAUCUUUCAGGAACUCAGGACGACACGCAUUGAUUAUAUUUCAUUGUGAUGGCCGUUGCCGCCACAGCUACUAUGGGUACAAGCAACUUCUAUUUCGCUCGUCGCCGGAAACCACCGCCCAGAUCCAUCUCUUCUCAACCAUGCCGACGUGGUGGUCAGGGGCGCUUACAACUUGUGAGGGCCUGCGUUCUUGCUAUUGAUCCGUGAUGGCAUGGCCUCCCCGCGCCCUAGCCGCAUUCUAGCUGAUGGUUUGGGUCUGCCAGCGGAGGGAGAGGGGGACGACCUCUGUCGCUCCUUCUCUCUAGCCUCUUCAUCUUGAUGAAGCCGUAGGAGUGGAGGGGCACGCGCGUGAUGGAUCUGCUCCAAGCACCUCAAGCCACGCAUCUUCAAGGUGAUCACUUCAUCCACAUUCAAUCUUAGUUCCCGCGUUUACUCCGAGGAGAGUUCAAAAGCAGCAGGAGCAGUUGUUCUACUGCUGGUCGGAGGGAGAGCUUGGCAAGGGAGAUAGAGGGAGCUCUACAACCACAAUCUUGGCAUACAACCCGAUGGCAUCAUGCCCACGUAAGCUUCUUCCAUGUUCCAAUUCUUGCACUUGAUGGUCUUUUACUGUUAGAGCUUACGAAAUCUUAGAUGUUGCUGACAAAAGACCGAGAUACACUAUUUCAGACUAUAUAUUAUUCAGCAAGUACGUUCGCAAAAAAUUUUGGUCUCAGCAGGUUGGUGUUCAUGUACAGGUUGCCAUAUGAGAAUAUACUGCGUAUUCGUCAAAUCUCAGAACAAAUGGUCCAUUCCGAUCAUAACUAUUCCAAAAGCAUUGAUAGGCUUUUUUAAACAUCAAGAUAUCUGAAUAUUGAUCUCAGCAGUGUCCAAAAUCCAAAUGGUUAUGUUUGUUCAGAUUUUCCUCAUUUUUAUGUUCUUUGAAUUAAAGUAGUGCUUGAGGUUAAUAAUAAAUGAUUGUUGGUAACUUAACU